GAACGCGAAGAACCUUACCAGGUCUUGACAUCCCUCUGACCGCUCUAGAGAUAGAGUUUUCCUUCGGGACAGAGGUGACAGGUGGUGCAUGGUUGUCGUCAGCUCGUGUCGUGAGAUGUUGGGUUAAGUCCCGCAACGAGCGCAACCCCUAUUGUUAGUUGCCAUCAUUCAGUUGGGCACUCUAGCGAGACUGCCGGUAAUAAACCGGAGGAAGGUGGGGAUGACGUCAAAUCAUCAUGCCCCUUAUGACCUGGGCUACACACGUGCUACAAUGGCUGGUACAACGAGUCGCAAGCCGGUGACGGCAAGCUAAUCUCUUAAAGCCAGUCUCAGUUCGGAUUGUAGGCUGCAACUCGCUACAUGAAGUCGGAAUCGCUAGUAAUCGCGGAUCAGCACGCCGCGGUGAAUACGUUCCCGGGUCUUGUACACACC
rnacentral:rRNA from 1 species